UCAUCCAGCACCGCCUCGACCUUGAGUUAGGAGAUGAUCGACCUGAUGCGGACCCUCAUGACCGACGAUGACAAGGCCCGGCAAUUUCAAGCAGGAGGCCCUCGUCUCGCCAAUCCCCCAAUUCCCCAAGCUCAGCUACAGAUUUUGCAAGAGUUCUGAUGGAUUUUGAACAAUUUCUCCCUUGGAAGUCUGUUCUUCCAUUUUCCAGAGUUUUCGGCAGACUUCAAUGAACUUCUAGAUUUUUGUGCCAUGAGGGUGUGAA